rnacentral:lncRNA from 1 species
AUUCUGCAGAUAUAACUUGAUGACCCUGGAUGCAAAGAGUUAACAGAGAUAUGGCAUGAACAUGUAUUAGAAAAAUGAUUCACACACAAUAGAAAAAAUAAGUAAGACCAGGAUUGGGUGGCUUUGGAGAAUGUAAUUUCAGCUUGAAUAUGAAGAUGCUUGUAGAACAGUGUUCCUUCCUCUGAACAUGGCUACAGAAGAACAAAUCAGUUAGUCUGAAGAUGAAAACAAGAAGCUGAUGGUAGACACAUUCUGAACUGGCUAACACAACACUCUGAAACUGGAGGAUAUCAACUGAUAAGAUAUGAAGUUCUCCCUUAGUUUCAAAUACACUGGGUUCAUAAAUUAUUGACAUAAACAAUAGAUGUCCCAUCAAGCUACCAUGAAGAUAGCUAGGUCUGCACAACUCCUCAAGUGUCGACCCCUCCAAGCACAUCCUCCACCUGGAACUGUGAA